UACAGAGGGUGCAAACGUUGUUCGGAAUUACUGGGCGUAAAGCGCGUGUAGGCUGUUCGGUAAGUCGGAUGUGAAAGCCCUGGGCUCAACCCAGGAAGUGCAUUCGAAACUCCCGAACUGGAGUCCUGGAGAGGAAGGCGGAAUUCUCGGUGUAGAGGUGAAAUUCGUAGAUAUCGAGAGGAACAUCGGUGGCGAAGGCGGCCUUCUGGACAGUGACUGACGCUGAGACGCGAAAGCGUGGGGAGCAAACAGG
rnacentral:rRNA from 1 species